UCGGGAGGAGAGCCCACCUCUGUCCACCCCCCACCCCGCCCCCGCCGCUCACCCGGCGGAACGACGAAGCGUCCUAGUCUUAGUACGAAUCUCCACAUGAUAGAGGCUGUGAAGUACUAUGCAUGGUGCUUUUCGUUCCCAACCGGCUUACAUUAGUUAUCCUGGUCCUGCACAAAUUUAUGCCGAGCUUUGCAAAACGCAGUGGCUUUUGGAAAUACGUGGAACAGGAAAAGACAAAACCUCAGUGCACGUCCGCGAUUAUUCCUCUUGCCUUGGCAUCUCUCAGCCCAGCGUAUAAUUCGUUUUCCUCUAAAUGCACCCGCUGUACAGGUUUGGUGUUUGUCUCCAAAAGGAGCCCGGCAGGUCCUUCUUCUACUAAUGUGGAUCUGCUACUGUAAAGAAGGAAAGAUAUAUCUUUAGGAUACCUUGAUGAAUUAUAGACAAGAGAAAUUCAAGUGCUGACCAUGUUGCAUUGUGGAAAGGUGGACUUGACUGCAUGCCUGGCUUAAACAACCAACAUCGAUUGGCUCAGCUCUGGAGGCUACAGGUUUACAAUCAGGUGACCUCUCUCCCAGCUUCUAGUAGACUUGAGUGAUGGUUGGCUUCUAUAUGGCAUUCUCCUUAUAUCUUCACACAGUCUCCCCAAUAGCUAACUCUAUGUCCAAAUUUCUCCUUUUCAUAAGUACGACUCUCACAUUGGAUUAAGGCCCCCAGAUGACUUCAUUUUAACUUAAUUACUUUUACAAAGACCCUGUCUCCAUAUAAGGUCACAUUCAGAGAUACAGGAGAUUAGGAAUCCAACUUUUUUUUUUUGGAGGGACAAAAUUGAGUCCACAAUAGUGAUUUAACACUGAGUUGUUCAUACCCUCAAUGGGUUUACCUCCCUACCUUUACAGAACUUCAUAAAGUCUGAUGGACCUUAGAAUGUACUUUAAGUUCAAAAAGAAAAAAAAAAAAAGAAUUCAGAAGUUUCUGACUGGAAGCCUUCUCAGUAUUCCCUAAGCUACUUUAAAAUCCUGCCACAUACUCGAAGACAUCUGUUAUUACAAUCUUUUUGAAUUUUGGAGAAUACUUAAGAAGUUUGGUUCACAGUGCCUGUGGGCCUGCUUAACUUUUAGCAUUGGUUCAAAAGGGAAGUCCUCUUUAUUUUCAAAUCGCUCCAAGGUUUAUUUUUGAAAUUAAGUUUCCAUUUCCUAUGGAAUUCACAAAGUUUAGCGUAUCUGGAAAAAAAGCUCUCGGUUUCAGAAAUGUAUUUUGGAACAUAGACAUUCAUUUACCCUCCCCAUAUUCCCCUCCCCCACCGUGUGUGUGUGUGUGUGUGUGUGUGUGUACAUAAGAAAACAAGUCUCGGGGCCACUGCUGUGGCAUAGCAAGUAAAGCUACAGCCUGCAGUGCCAGCAUCCCUUUUGGUGCCGGUUUGAGUCCUGGCAGCUCCUCUUCCAAUCCAGCUCUCUGCUAUGGCCUGGGAAAGCAGUAAAAGAUGGCCAAAGUCCUUGGGCCCCUGUACUGCAUGGGAGACCCAGAUGGGCCCAGCUAAAGCCAUUGUGGCCUUUUAGGGAGUGAAUCAGCAGAUGGAAGACCUCUCCGUCUCUGCCUUUGCCUCUCUGUAACUCUGUCUUUCAAAUAAACAAAUAAGUUGUAAAGAAAAAGGAAAUAGG
ensembl:lncRNA